GCGAACGCUGGCGGCAGGCCUAACACAUGCAAGUCGAACGAACCUUUCGGGGUUAGUGGCGGACGGGUGAGUAACACGUGGGAACGUGCCUUUAGGUUCGGAAUAACUCAGGGAAACUUGUGCUAAUACCGAAUGUGCCCUUCGGGGGAAAGAUUAAUCGCCUUUAGAGCGGCCCGCGUCUGAUUAGCUAGUUGGUUGAGGUAAUGGCUCACCAAGGCGACGAUCAGUAGCUGGUCUGAGAGGAUGAUCAGCCACAUUGGGACUGAGACACGGCCCAAACUCCUACGGGAAGCAGCAGUGGGGAAUCUUGCGCAAUGGGCGAAAGCCUGACGCAGCCAUGCCGCGUGAAUGAUGAAGGUCUUAGGAUUGUAAAAUUCUUUCACCGGGGACGAUAAUGACGGUACCCGGAGAAGAAGCCCCGGCUAACUUCGUG
rnacentral:rRNA from 1 species